CUAGUCAUUGUGAGCUCUGAUUGAUAAGAUGUCUACAAGCAGCAAGCAUUGGAUUAUCGUUGUGUUGCUGUUUCUUGCGUUCCUCCAACUCGUCUCUGUGCAUGGCAGACCUCCGCCCGACAGAACUGGAACAGCUUUGUAUAGGACACGAGUCAGUCCACUCACCUUGGUGACUAUCUUCAUCCAGGAAACUGUCGCCGUAAAUAAACCAUGAGCUGAAAUUCGAGAUAUGUGUGCAUGUGUGCUUCAUUAUGUUAUUCAGUUUCCCAAGAAAUGAAAUGAAGUCAGAAUGUCGUGUACUACCGGUAAUCAAUAGUUUGUCAUGUACACUACAAGUAAGCUGAAGAUAAGGUCAUCGGAAAGUUUAGUCCUUCUAGGUGCACUUUGAUAUUAUUGUAGCUAGAAUCUUUAACCUUUCAAUACUAUUAUUACAAUUCCACUUGAGAGAUUUUCCUAAAUGUGUGAUCUUUGAGAAUCAAUAUCCUUUUUUUUUCUAGAAACACUUAUUUCGACGGAACGAUUGUGCACAACAUGUUGAUUCGACAGGUGAUUUCAAAAAAAAGUACACAUGGUCUAGACUCAAUUCUAGUCAAGUCAAGCGUCAAUCCUAAUAGGGCGGUGUCAAGAAAACUGAGGGCCGUUGUGAAUUGUAGUGUGUGUUCUUAAUAAAAAUAUAUCAAUAAAUUGCAAUAUAGAAUGUGUGUGUGGACCUGG